GUGAAAAACCUCAGUGAUCUACUGAUGAACACACAAUUCAAGCUGGAGAAACUACAGAAAAUCUGUCAAUCACCGGAGAUCACAGCAAUAACAAAUCACAGCAAUCCAGUUCAUUAAUGGACCAAAUUAAAUCCUGACAUACUUUCUUUUUUUCACAUUCCCUCAGACUUACAGUGCAGUAAAGAAUGACAAUUGCAAAAAAAAA